rnacentral:ncRNA from 1 species
CUACCGAAAGGGCAAAGCUGGAGUAAUCCGGUGACGCAAAGCCACGGAUCCUGUUUUUCAGGACAGCCGGGUUGCCGAA